UGGUGCAUGGUUGUCGUCAGCUCGUGUCGUGAGAUGUUGGGUUAAGUCCCGCAACGAGCGCAACCCUUAUUAUCAGUUGCCAGCAUUAAGUUGGGCACUCUGGUGAGACUGCCGGUGACAAACCGGAGGAAGGUGGGGAUGACGUCAAAUCAUCAUGCCCCUUAUGACCUGGGCUACACACGUGCUACAAUGGAUGGUACAACGAGUUGCGAACUCGCGAGAGUAAGCUAAUCUCUUAAAGCCAUUCUCAGUUCGGAUUGUAGGCUGCAACUUGCGUACAGGAAAUCGGAAUCGGUAGUUAUCGGGGAUAAGCAUACCGCGGUGAAUAUGUUCCCGGGCCUUGUACACACCUACCCGUCACACCAUGAGAGUUUGUAACACCCAAAGUAGGGGGGGUAAUAGGAUAGGAACCAGCCGCCUAAGGGGGACAGAUACUAGGGAAGUCCACAGAUCACCGAAA
rnacentral:rRNA from 2 species